rnacentral:rRNA from 1 species
UACAGAGGGUGCGAGCGUUGUCCGGAAUCACUGGGCGUAAAGGGCGCGUAGGUGGCGCCGCAAGUCCAUGGUGAAAGCUCGAUGCUCAACAUCGAGUCGGCCACGGAGACUGCGGGGCUCGAGCACUGUAGGGGCAGAUGGAAUUCCGGGUGUAGCGGUGGAAUGCGCAGAUAUCAGGAGGAACACCAAUGGCGAAGGCAGCUCGCUGGGACGGUACUGACGCUGAGACGCGAAAGCGUGGGGAGCAAACAGG